rnacentral:rRNA from 1 species
GUUGUUGGGUAGGGGAGCGUUCUGUAAGCCUGUGAAGGUGUACUGUGAGGUAUGCUGGAGGUAUCAGAAGUGCGAAUGCUGACAUAAGUAACGAUAAAGCGGGUGAAAAGCCCGCUCGCCGGAAGACCAAGGGUUCCUGUCCAACGUUAAUCGGGGCAGGGUGAGUCGACCCCUAAGGCGAGGCCGAAAGGCGUAGUCGAUGGGAAACAGGUUAAUAUUCCUGUACUUGGUGUUACUGCGAAGGGGGGACGGAGAAGGCUAUGUUGGCCGGGCGACGGUUGUCCCGGUUUAAGCGUGUAGGCUGGUUUUCCAGGCAAAUCCGGAAAAUCAAGGCUGAGGCGUGAUGACGAGGCACUACGGUGCUGAAGCAACAAAUGCCCUGCUUCCAGGAAAAGCCUCUAAGCAUCAGGUAACAUCAAAUCGUACCCCAAACCGACACAGGUGGUCAGGUAGAGAAUACCAAGGCGCUUGAGAGAACUCGGGUGAAGGAACUAGGCAAAAUGGUGCCGUAACUUCGGGAGAAGGCACGCUGAUAUGUAGGUGAAGUCCCUCGCGGAUGGAGCUGAAAUCAGUCGAAGAUACCAGCUGGCUGCAACUGUUUAUUAAAAACACAGCACUGUGCAAACACGAAAGUGGACGUAUACGGUGUGACGCCUGCCCGGUGCCGGAAGGUUAAUUGAUGGGGUCAGCGCAAACGAAGCUCUUGAUCGAAGCCCCGGUAAACGGCGGCCGUAACUAUAACGGUCCUAAGGUAGCGAAAUUCCUUGUCGGGUAAGUUCCGACCUGCACGAAUGGCGUAAUGAUGGCCAGGCUGUCUCCACCCGAGACUCAGUGAAAUUGAACUCGCUGUGAAGAUGCAGUGUACCCGCGGCAAGACGGAAAGACCCCGUGAACCUUUACUAUAGCUUGACACUGAACAUUGAGCCUUGAUGUGUAGGAUAGGUGGGAGGCUUGGAAGUGUGGACGCCAGUCUGCAUGGAGCCGACCUUGAAAUACCACCCUUUAAUGUUUGAUGUUCUAACGUUGACCCGUAAUCCGGGUUGCGGACAGUGUCUGGUGGGUAGUUUGACUGGGGCGGUCUCCUCCUAAAGAGUAACGGAGGAGCACGAAGGUUGGCUAAUCCUGGUCGGACAUCAGGAGGUUAGUGCAAUGGCAUAAGCCAGCUUGACUGCGAGCGUGACGGCGCGAGCAGGUGCGAAAGCAGGUCAUAGUGAUCCGGUGGUUCUGAAUGGAAGGGCCAUCGCUCAACGGAUAAAAGGUACUCCGGGGAUAACAGGCUGAUACCGCCCAAGAGUUCAUAUCGACGGCGGUGUUUGGCACCUCGAUGUCGGCUCAUCACAUCCUGGGGCUGAAGUAGGUCCCAAGGGUAUGGCUGUUCGCCAUUUAAAGUGGUACGCGAGCUGGGUUUAGAACGUCGUGAGACAGUUCGGUCCCUAUCUGCCGUGGGCGCUGGAGAACUGAGGGGGGCUGCUCCUAGUACGAGAGGACCGGAGUGGACGCAUCACUGGUGUUCGGGUUGUCAUGCCAAUGGCACUGCCCGGUAGCUAAAUGCGGAAGAGAUAAGUGCUGAAAGCAUCUAAGCACGAAACUUGCCCCGAGAUGAGUUCUCCCUGACUCCUUGAGAGUCCUGAAGGAACGUUGAAGACGACGACGUUGAUAGGCCGGGUGUGUAAGCGCAGCGAUGCGUUGAGCUAACCGGUACUAAUGAACCGUGAGGCUUAACCUU